rnacentral:rRNA from 1 species
UACGUAGGGGGCAAGCGUUGUCCGGAAUCAUUGGGCGUAAAGAGCGUGUAGGCGGCCCGAUAAGUCCGCCGUGAAAGUCCAGGGCUCAACCCCUGGAAUGCCGGUGGAAACUGUCGGGCUGGAGUCCGGAAGAGGCGAGUGGAAUUCCUGGUGUAGCGGUGAAAUGCGCAGAUAUCAGGAGGAACACCGGUGGCGAAGGCGGGUCUCUGGGCCGAUACUGACGCUGAGGAGCGAAAGCGUGGGGAGCGAACAGG